rnacentral:rRNA from 1 species
UAGGUUAACGAGGCGAACCGGGGGAACUGAAACAUCUAAGUACCCCGAGGAAAAGAAAUCAACCGAGAUUCCCCCAGUAGCGGCGAGCGAACGGGGAGCAGCCCAGAGUCUGAAUCAGCUUGUGUGUUAGUGGAACGGUCUGGAAAGUCCGACGGUACAGGGUGAUAGUCCCGUACACCAAAAUGCACAGGUUGUGAACUCGAAGAGUAGGGCGGGACACGUGGUAUCCUGUCUGAAUAUGGGGGGACCAUCCUCCAAGGCUAAAUACUCCUGACUGACCGAUAGUGAACCAGUACCGUGAGGGAAAGGCGAAAAGAACCCCGGCGAGGGGAGUGAAAAAGAACCUGAAACCGUGUACGUACAAGCAGUGGGAGCACCUUCGGGUGUGACUGCGUACCUUUUGUAUAAUGGGUCAGCGACUUAUA